ensembl:snRNA U6 U6 spliceosomal RNA
GUGCUCGCUUCAGCAGCACAUACACUAAAAUCAGAAAGAUACAGAGAAGGUUAGCAUGGCCCUUGUGCAAGCAUAACACAGAUUCGUGAAGUGUUCCAUAUUUUU